AUGGCAAAGCGCCUCGCCGUCGCGCUCCUGCUGCUGGUCCUGCUCGCGUCCAGCGACGCCGGUGCUGCUGCCCGUGCUGCUAGUGGCGUCGGCGAGAAGAAGGCUCUGGUGCCCGGGCUGCCGGUGGACCUCCCUCUCCCUGGGCUCCCUGGGCUGCCUGGGCUCCCUGGGCUCCCUGGCCUGCCGGGGCUCCCUGGGCUCCCUCCCGUUCCCAAAUCCACCGCCACCAACAAGUCUCCAUGA
rnacentral:rRNA from 1 species